rnacentral:rRNA from 1 species
UACGUAGGGUGCGAGCGUUGUCCGGAAUUAUUGGGCGUAAAGAGCUCGUAGGCGGUCUGUCGCGUCGAUCGUGAAAACUUGGGGGCUUAACCCUGAGCUUGCGGUCGAUACGGGCAUGACUGGAGUUCGGCAGGGGAGACUGGAAUUCCUGGUGUAGCGGUGAAAUGCGCAGAUAUCAGGAGGAACACCGGUGGCGAAGGCAGGAUCUCUG